AAAAGGCACUCAUUUUAACGUUUUUUCUGCCUAAAAAGUUUUUCCAUGUGGCGUUCAUAGCUAUUUUUGCAUCUUUGAGCUUAUCUUUUAUCUGGAUUCCGUUCAGUUGCCAUUUUUCGUUCCUAGCGUGACGGCCACCUGUACCCUUAACUACCAUAAUCUUUGAUUUGCUUGUAUUUAUGGGCUGUCAGCCAGUAGGCACAUGUCAUCGGCAUACAUAAGGGUCUGAACAUGGGUUCCAUUCACGGUCACUCCACCUAGUUAAAAAUCAACAACGUCGUCCACGAAGAGAGAUAAGAGGAGAGGGCUGAGAAUUGAGCCUUGUUUAACUCCACUGUUGGUAUCGAACUAUUUCGAAAGCUCUGAUCCGUCCCAUACACUUGCUUUGUUAUCCUCAUAGAUACUGGACAGUGCUAGUAAGGCUUUUGUUGAGAGUCCGAGUUGGCUAAGUUUAUACAUUAAGCUAUUUUGGUUCACUGUUUCAAAGGCGGCUUUAAAAUCUACAAAGAAAAUGUA